UUUAACGGCCGCGGUAUUUUGACCGUGCAAAGGUAGCGCAAUCACUUGUCUUUUAAAUGAAGACCUGUAUGAAUGGCAUAACGAGGGCUUAACUGUCUCCUUUUUCCAGUCAAUGAAAUUGAUCUCCCCGUGCAGAAGCGAGGAUAUUAACAUAAGACGAGAAGACCCUAUGGAGCUUUAGACACCAGAACAGACCAUGUCAAACACCCCUUAAAUGAAGGACAAAACUAAUUGGCCCCUGUUCUAAUGUCUUUGGUUGGGGCGACCGCGGGGAAACAAAAAACCCCCAUGUGGACCGGGAGCACACUCACUCCUACAACCCAGAGGCACAACUCCAAGUAACAGAACUUCUGACCAACAAGAUCCGGCACAUAGCCGAUCAACGGACCGAGUACCCUAGC
rnacentral:rRNA from 1 species